rnacentral:ncRNA from 1 species
GCAAAAGCUGUGAGAAGGAGAGUACAACUUUUUAGAUCGUGCAGAGAGCCGGUGGGUGGUGCGAACCGGUCGGUCGGAGAGUUGGAAACACACCUUUGAGCUGUGGCCCGAACGGCUGCCCGAUGGCAGCUCACUAGACGUCACCGGAGACUUCCACCGUUAUCAGCGGAAGAGGGGUUAGUUGUUUUGACUCCUGAUGAGUGGUCAUGUGCGGCUGUUGAGUUCGUGCAUGGCAAGAUGGGUGGUACCGCGAGCAAGCUCUCGUCCCGUUA